rnacentral:lncRNA from 1 species
AUCUUGCCCGUGCGUCCGUGGCACGGAACGGCCGUUAGUCCCGGCAGAGGGCUCCGCGAAGACAGUGCCGUCGUUGGGCGCGCGCGCGGGCGGGAGCUGUCGGGGCGGGGCGGCACCGCCGAGCUCCGAGCUGCAGGACUUUGAAAUGACCCUGUCCUCAGCCUGGAGGAUGCGGUAUUCUGAUUGUCUGGUGCUGUGUCAACUGGGCCUGCCUCUGGGAUAGUGUUGUGGCUGCCCCACGAGAACCCUAUAUGCCAGGUGAGCUUGAAGCACCUCAGAGACAGAGCACUGAAGCUCCAUGACACAGGGCUAUUCAGCUAUCAUUGCCCCUGUUUGCCAGCACCUCUGUCUAAAUAACUUGUGUGGGACAGAAUUAGGUCCGAGUCUGGUAUUCUGUUCAUCUAGCCUGGUAGCCAGGUAGUGAGAGAAGAAACCUGUGGCCCUUGUCUAAAUAUGAGGUGGUCAGUAUUUAACAACAAAUCAACAAUAGGGUAUGACCAGACUGACUUGGGUCUGUUUGCAACACCUGAACCUUAUGCACAUGCUCAUAAAUGCCCUCUCCAAAAUACACACACACACCCCCAAGAAAGGUGAGAUACAAAUACACACUCCUCCCACACAGAAACAUGCAUGCUCAUUCACUCUGGCAGAAACCCUGAUCACACUUACGCUCCUGCACUCAGAUCUAGGGAGUAGAAAAUGGGCCAAGCCAACUCCAAAGACAGCUCAUAGUUUCAUUUUCAUCUCCUCAC